rnacentral:misc_RNA from 1 species
GAUGAAGAACGUAGCGAAAUGCGAUAAGUAAUGUGAAUUGCAGAAUUCAGUGAAUCAUCGAAUCUUUGAACGCACCUUGCGCUCGUCGGUAUUCCGACGAGCAUGCCUGUUUGAGUCUCAUGUAUCUCUCAAACCUCGAAAGUUUGCGCUUUCGAUGGCUUUGGACUUGGAGGUCUAUGCCGGCGCGAGUCGGCUCCUCUCUAAAUGCAUUAGCUCGGAUCAUACGUGUCGAUCUGCGGUGUGAUAAACGUCUACGUCGCGGCAUUUGACACCUCGCUUUUUUGCGAGCUGGUCUGGCUUCUAAUCGCCUUCGGGCAACACAUCUGACAUCUGAGCUCAAAUCAGGUAGGACUACCCGCUGAACUUAAGCAUAUCAAUAAGCGGAGGA